CGCACAUUGCGCCCGCCAGUACUCUGGCGGGCAUGCCUGUUCGAGCGUCAUUUCAACCCUCAAGCACCGCUUGGCGUUGGGGAUCAGCCGCGCUGACUAGAGCCGGCUGGCCCUGAAAUACAGUGGCGGUCUCGCUGUCGCCUCCCCUGCGUAGUAGCACACCUCGCUCCGGAGAGCAGCGCGGCCACGCCGUAAAACCCCCCCCGAAUCUGAAAAGGUUGACCUCGAAUCAGGUAGGAAUACCCGCUGAACUUAA
rnacentral:misc_RNA from 1 species